rnacentral:rRNA from 1 species
AGUGAACGCUGGCGGUAGGCCUAACACAUGCAAGUCGAACGGCAGCACAGGAGAGCUUGCUCUCUGGGUGGCGAGUGGCGGACGGGUGAGGAAUACAUCGGAAUCUACUCUGUCGUGGGGGAUCACGUAGGGAAACUUACGCUAAUACCGCAUAUGACCUACGGGUGAAAGCAGGGGACCUUCGGGCCUUGCGCGAUUGAAUGAGCCGAUGUCGGAUUAGCUAGUUGGCGGGGUAAAGGCCCACCAAGGCGACGAUCCGUAGCUGGUCUGGAGGGAGGAUCAGCCGCACGGGAACAGAGACACGGUCCAGACUCCUACGGGAGGCAGCAGUGGGGAAUAUUGGACAAUGGGCGCAAGCCUGAUCCAGCCAUACCGCGCGGGUGAAGAAGGCCUUCGGGUUGUAAAGCCCUUUUGUUGGGAAAGAAGUCCAGCUGGCUAAUACCCGGUUGGGAUGACGGUACCCAAAGAAUAAGCACCGACUAACUUCGUGCCAGCAGCCGCCGUAA